rnacentral:tRNA from 1 species
GCCAGUGUGGCGUAGUGGUUUGAGUGUUGGACUGUGAUUCUGGAGAGCAGGGUUCAAAUCCUGGAUUGGCC